UUGCUUGCCGGGCAGGGCAGAUGCCCUUCCUCUUGGCCUUGGCUGACAUGGUGCAGUCGGAGGGUGAAGACCUGUCCCUUGCACCGCGGGCAGGCUGAUCCCUGCGAGAGCCUAUGAAUGCCUCCAAACGCAGGGAUCGCAGCUGCACGGUUUAUGGUGGAGGGGGAUUGCUUUUGGGUUUUCCCUCC
rnacentral:snRNA from 14 species